rnacentral:tRNA from 1 species
GGAGAGAUGGCUGAGCGGUCGAAAGCGCCUUCCUGCUAAGAAGGUGGUCCUAUAAAACGGGACUCGAGGGUUCGAAUCCCUCUCUCUCCGCCA